rnacentral:rRNA from 1 species
AUUGAACGCUGGCGGCAGGCUUAACACAUGCAAGUCGAACGAGUGGCGGACGGGUGAGUAAUGUCUGGGAAACUGCCCGAUGGCGGGGGAUAACUACUGGAAACGGUAGCUAAUACCGCAUACCAUUCGAUGUGCCCAGAUGGGAUUAGCUUGUUGGUGGGGUAAAGGCUCACCAAGGCGACGAUCCCUAGCUGGUCUGAGAGGAUGACCAGCCACACUGGAACUGAGACACGGUCCAGACUCCUACGGGAGGCAGCAGUGGGGAAUAUUGCACAAGGGGGGCAAGCCUGAUGCAGCCAUGCCGCGGGUAUGAAGAAGGCCUUCGGGUUGUAAAGUACUUUCAGCGGAGAGGCGUUACCCGCAGAAGAAGCACCGGCUAACUCCGUGCCAGCAGCCGCGGUAAUAC